UAGAUCUUCGUUAUCAUACACAAAACUAAACACAUCAAGAACAACCAUAUUAUUGCAAAAAUGUUGAACAAUAAUUUCCCGGCAUCGACAUUUGCUUCAAAGGUUUGCAAUUUUCAUAUCAAAUUUAUAUCAUAUCGUAAUGAACUUUCUUCUUGCUAUCUUUCUUCUUUCUGAAUUGGGGUGCACAAAACAGUCAGUUAGCCGAUGAACCGGGCCAACUCAAAUCAAAACCGACUCAACCUAGCCCCUUUACUUUUUUAAUAAAUAAAUAUAUAUAUAUAUAAAUAGUGUUAAUAUUAUAUGUACAAUAUAUUUUAAGGGCCUUUCUUUAGUCCCUCUGUUGGAUUCGAAGGACUAAGUCCUUCUAUUUUCAGUUGUUAGAACACUAAUGGACGGCAGGAUUAAGGUGUUUCAUUGAGAAUAUAUUAAAAUACACAUAUACCCUUUCAUACUUCUUAGCAAAUGGCUACCAUCUAUUACAUUUAAUUUUUUUUAUCUGAUUAUUUUAAUUAAGAACGUUUAAUUCUUGUGUAAUCUUGGGUUUGGGGUAAAAGAGUUUUCGUAGAAUCUGAUAUUUAUGUUAUCUCUCCCUCCCCAUUACUUUAUUUCGUCGGCCUAGUUCGUCUGCUUGGGUGGGUUGGUUGAGUCUCUCAAGUUUUUAAGUUAAAUUUGUUGAAGAGUAGGUCGAUUGGUGAGGUUAAUUGGUGGCGCAGGUUGGGUCCAUUGAUUUUCAUUUUUGAAAAUGUGGUGGGUUUCAUUCCUGGCUUUUCGUUGUGGGUAAUUUUGUUUUUGUUUGUUUGUUUUUUUUUUAAUGGGUGGAUUGGAGCUGAAACAAAAAUGGCUGCAAGGAUGGUAUGGGCUUGAGGGGCUGCCUCAUACCUUAGAAUCUGGCUUCAAAAGGCUUUGCUUGUGUUGUGAAGGAUUUUAAGUUAGCUGACUCCCAUGAAGGGGUAACUUGGACGAAAAUUGGGCUACUGUAGGCAUAACCUAUCAUGCUCAAGAUCAUUUAGGUGAUGUUCUGUAUGUUGAAUUGGCAGAAGUAGGAGCUUAUGUAACACAGGGCGAAAGAAAAUAAUUUAAAUACUCUUAUUUAAAACCAAUUAUGAUUCAGUCUUGUAUUCUCUCAUGCUCUAUUUUUCUGACAAAUGAGCAAUUCUCAAUACCAUAGGUGAUUUGCUAUCAA